GUGAGGAAUAUUGGACAAUGGAUGGAAAUCUGAUCCAGCCAUGCCGCGUGCAGGAAGACGGCCCUAUGGGUUGUAAACUGCUUUUGUAUGGGAGCAAUAAGGGUUACGAGUAGCCUGAUGAGAGUACCAUACGAAUAAGGACCGGCUAACUCCGUGCCAGCAGCCGCGGUAAUACGGAGGGUCCGAGCGUUAUCCGGAUUUAUUGGGCUUAAAGGGUGCGUAGGCGGUUUUAUAAGUCAGCGGUGAAGUUUUCCGGCUCAACCGGGGGACUGCCGUUGAUACUGUAAGGCUAGGAUAUGGUUGCUGUGGGUGGAAUGUGUGGUGUAGCGGUGAAAUGCUUAGAGAUCACACAGAAUAUCGAUUGCGAAGGCAGCUCACAAAGCCAUCAUUGACGCUGAGGCACGAAAGUGUGGGGAUCAAACAGGAUUAGAAACCCCGGUAGUCC
rnacentral:rRNA from 1 species